GAUGAACGCUGGCGGCGUGCCUAAUACAUGCAAGUCGAGCGAACGGACGAGAAGCUUGCUUCUCUGAUGUUAGCGGCGGACGGGUGAGUAACACGUGGAUAACCUACCUAUAAGACUGGGAUAACUUCGGGAAACCGGAGCUAAUACCGGAUAAUAUUUUGAACCGCAUGGUUCAAAAGUGAAAGACGGUCUUGCUGUCACUUAUAGAUGGAUCCGCGCUGCAUUAGCUAGUUGGUAAGGUAACGGCUUACCAAGGCAACGAUGCAUAGCCGACCUGAGAGGGUGAUCGGCCACACUGGAACUGAGACACGGUCCAGAGUCCUACGGGAGGCAGCAGUAGGGAAUCUUCCGCAAUGGGCGAAAGCCUGACGGAGCAACGCCGCGUGAGUGAUGAAGGUCUUCGGAUCGUAAAACUCUGUUAUUAGGGAAGAACAUAUGUGUAAGUAACUGUGCACAUCUUGACGGUACCUAAUCAGAAAGCCACGGCUAGCUACGUG
rnacentral:rRNA from 1 species